ensembl:lncRNA
UGUUGACAACUUUUAUUAGGUAUCACUAGAUGACGCUGCAUGACAUCUGCACACAUCAUGUGGUACACAGCACUCCACAGUAAUCUACACUGUACACACAGAGACAACUGGAGCCAUUCAACCCCGCUACUUUCAUCCAAGCAGAGUGUCUCUUUACAUUCUUCCAAGAGACCUACUAUCAUAAUGAAUAUUAUCCUCCCAACUUAAAACAAUAAACCCAAAAUAGUGGCUUUUUUUAAAGCCACAGUUAAAAGGCUAUAGUGCCAUUACUGAGUCUGCAACCAGACUCCGUCGUUCCAAAGCGUAUCUCCACAGUUUGUGUGACCUGAUACUUGGGUUGCAGCUCACAAGUGAGAUAGUACUUACUCAGAAGGAACAUGGUUGACAUGACACAUCCACUAAAACUUUUUUGAGGUAAUGGAUUUUUAAAUUUCAUUGUUUUAAAACACAGAAAAACAAAACCGAAAACAAAAAAAGCUCGUCAUUUCCAGCAGGGCAUGGAGGUUGGCAGGAAAAUUUUUUCCCUUUUGUCAAAUAUGUGUACACUUCUUUAUAUAUAGCCCAUGUCUUUGUCUUUUCUCCACACCUAGUUUAAAUUAAUUUAAUCAUUUAAUCAUCAUUAUCGUAUCUAUUUAGACUUUUCAUAUAUAUGAAAUACACACACAUAUGUGUGCAUAUCAGUCACAACAAAGCCAGCGUUUUAUAUAGCACAAGAUAAAAGGCACAGAGCUAAAAGAGUACAUAAUGUACAGAAUGGCUUCAAGUUGCUACAGUCUACUGUGAAUGGAUACUGUGUAAAUUGUGACAACUACAUUGUUUUGCAUCUGUUAGAAACAAUGAUUGAAUAUUGUCAAAGUCAAGUUAUAGAUGAAGAUACAUUUAUAAUAAGUGCCACACUUAUAUUUACUUUGAAUGAUAUCUGUAAAGUUUUGAGGCUUUACCCUCCUUGGAGCUGCAGACAAGCUCAUCCAUUGUUUCCAAUUUAUUCAGCCUGUGUGUGUGUGUGUGUGUGUGUGUGUGUGUGUGUGUGUGUGUGUGUGUUUAAAAAUAAAAAUUAAUUCCAAUAACUUUGAUUUCUGGUAUUUAAUAUUAAUUUUCUUUCUUUAGCUUAAAAAUAAACAACAUACUUAAGAAAAAUACAGCUAAUUUAUUAUUCUAGAGACAUUGUAGAUUCAGUAGCAAAUGCAGCCUAGGGACAUCUAUAAAGACACCUGAUUAGCAUGCUUUACAUAGAUCAAAGAACACUAACAGGAAAUUUAUGGCUCCUUUGAUAAGAAAUAAAGUCACGUAAAAGAAAUAAGGCACUAAUACCAUACACAAAUGUUACAUCAUCACACAAGCACCAUGUGGAAGGUUUAGUGCUGCAAAGUAGCAUUAGCAUUACUGGGUAAUGGAAACAAUGUUGAUCUCCCUUACUUUCUUCCGGAAUUCUUUCUUUUCAAUGAUCAGAGCAGACACUUUGUUCAGUAAAAGGAACCAGCUGUACAGAGCACUUCUCUAGAAGGUGACCUCUUCAGCAGUGUGUGAAAUCGGGGCUUUUUGAGAGAUACCUUUGUUUUUCUACCUUUUAAUUUUGGCAAAAUUGGUUUUUCCCUUUUCCAACUUCUUUUCAGGGAUUAAUUAAGAAUAUCAAGGACUUCUAUUUUGUUAUUUCUACCUGCCUACUUAUUAAAAAUACAUUCAAAAUGGCUUCUUCCAUGUAGUUUUAUGAAGAUCAAAAUUAGCAGGACAACUACUGGAAUGCAGAAACAGUUUAAAAAAUUUUAAGAAUCAAAGAAAUAUUUUCAACACAAAAACAUUAUUACAUAUUAUUUGGAAAGGGGCUAUAAAGUUUACAGAAAAAUUUAAACUGUACAAUAAAAAGAAGUGACAAGACUUUUUCCGAAUAUGUAGUAGCAACAGAUGAAAGACCCAAUAUUUCUUUGUAUCAUUUUUAACACUGUGAAAAAAGAAGGCAUGGAUAAUAUAAGAGUCCUUAAAAGUUUACAAGGUAAGUAAAUGACCUCUUUCAUGAAAAUCUCUUAACAAUUUUGCCAACCACCCAGCGCUCCUGUACAGAUCUUAACAAAGGAUGGGUCUGCAUGCUGCUAGUUUCUGUUUUGUUAGCACUUGUUUGUCUGUCUGUUUUUGAGACGGAGUCUGACUAUGUAGCUCUGGCUGUCCUGGAAUUCACUGUGUAGACCAGGCUGGCCUGGAACUUACAAAUGCUAAGAUAAAAGCGGUGUCCUGCUGCCAUUUUAAUUAGGUUUUUCUAACACUUAAAGAUGUACUCCUCAUUAGUAUGGGAAUAGUUGUUAUAGUAAGCAAAGAGAGUGCCAAUGUUUU